AUCACUUCUUGGUCCUUUGGCCAAGCUUGGGUGUAGUAUCUGUUCUUAUCAGUUUUACUAUCUGAUACGCCCCUCUCUGGGGCCUAUUUAUUAAAGGGAAUUUUAGAAUAGGGAGAUGGGUGUUAGCGUCGAGAGGUGCGCAUCCCGACCAUUGCUUAGGAGCCAGGACACUGCGCCUCCCGCU